CGAGCUCCUAAUGCACCCCUCCAGGUAGCCUGCUGUCGGAAAGCACAGGGGCUCCAAUGCCUGAGCAGCUUUCUGAGCAGACAUCUAGUUCAUCUCCCCAAGUGCGAGAGGAUGGCUCAGAAGCCACAAUCUCUCUUUCCCUCCUGAUGCUGUCUGAGGCUGACUGCCAGGCUUUCAAUAUAAGGUGCCACACCUUCAGGACUCUCCCCAAUCCUUUUUGAUCACCAAUGAGGUGCAUAUAGAAGAGCCAGUCAGCAGGUGCAAAUUUCUAUCUUAUCUGAACCUUCAGGCAUUCUCCACUCUCUUGAGAUCCAUCGCUUGGCCCAAAUGGUUCAAUAACAAUUUUAGCUGACUUCUUUCCAGUGUCUGGCAGCAUCUGUCCCAGAAAAUUGUAGCUCCACCUCAUAAGAUUGGACAGAGGACAAUGGAUGGAGGACAGUGCCACCCUUAUCUAGACCCCGGGGAGAAAGCACUUCCUACUAUGGCUGCUGUGUAAGGGAAGAGAUGGAGAAAUCAGACCUGGAGGAUUUGACCAGAGAGGUUGUUAAGGUCUGGACAUGAGGUUUUUCUGAAAGAGACAAUGCAAAAUGUUCAAAGGUGAAAUGAUUAGAUUAUGAGAACUGUAACUUGAUUGGUGGAUUAAUCAACUUGAAUGGAUUAAGUGAGAGGUAACUAUAGUCAGGUAGGGUGUGGGCUGGAGGAAGUAGAUCACAUGCCUUUGGGGUUUACAUUUUGUUCCUGGUGAGUGGAGCUUGCUCUCUUUGCCCCCUGGCUCUCAUGUCCUGAGCUACUUUCCUCUGCCAUGCCCUUCUGCCAUGAUGUUCUGCCUCAUCAUGGGCCCAGA